rnacentral:sRNA from 1 species
CCCAGGCGUGGUGGUGCACACCUGUCAUCCCAGCGACUUGGGAGGCUGAGGCAGGAGGAUCGCAAGGUGGAGGCCAGCCUCAGCCAAAGCAAGGCCCCAAGCAACCCAGUGAGACCCUGUCUCUA